GUAGUACUCCUUCCAUCCCAAAAUACUUGUUGGGGAGAUGGAUAAAAUUGGAUGUAUCUAUAACUAGAAUAAGUCUACAUAUAUCCAUUUCUCUGACAAGUAUUUCGGGCCAGAGGGAGUAUAAU
rfam:Triticum aestivum genome assembly, contig: Triticum_aestivum_CS42_TGACv1_scaffold_157922_2DL